rnacentral:rRNA from 1 species
AUUGAACGCUGGCGGAAUGCUUUACACAUGCAAGUCGAGCGGCAGCGCGGGGGCAACCCUGGCGGCGAGCGGCGAACGGGUGAGUAACACAUCGGAACGUACCCAGUGGUGGGGGAUAGCCCGGCGAAAGCCGGAUUAAUACCGCAUACGACCUGAGGGGGAAAGUGGGGGACCGCAAGGCCUCACGCCGUUGGAGCGGCCGAUGUUCGAUUAGCUAGUUGGUAGGGUAAAGGCCUACCAAGGCGACGAUCGAUAGCUGGUCUGAGAGGACGACCAGCCACACUGGAACUGAGACACGGUCCAGACUCCUACGGGAGGCAGCAGUGGGGAAUUUUGGGACAAUGGGGGCAACCCUGAUCCAGCCAUUCCGCGUGAGUGAAGAA